AAUUCUCGUCACCCUUUUCCCAUCAGACUGCUGAUUCGUCCAUAGAUAGACCUCAAUUCUGAAAAACAAACGGAUUGCCAAACUUGCACGUGGGCGGAUCUCUACCGACCGCUCACAGCAGUUUUAUUCGGUGUUUUGAUUCAAUUUUUCAAGGGUGAAGACGACGAAGGAACAGUACGCAUAAUCUACUUGGACGAAGGAAGCGAGGAGGAGGAGGAGAAGGAGGAGGAGCAGGCCAUUUUUAACAAGAAAUGCCUAAAAACCAGAGGAGGAGCUGAAUGACCAAGGUCAGCAUUAUGCACUUCAUUUCCAAGAGACGAGCAUUUUUGAAACGGUGAUGAAAGCGAUGAAAAAAUGCCUCGGUUUUUCCCUCCCUCAUUGGUCUGAGGUUCCUUUGAAAUGAGAGCCAAUUAUUUACUUUUAGCCAAGGCUCAAUGUUGACCAUUGUGUCUUGAGCUUGGCGCUAAACGAUCUGAAACGAUUUCCGCCUUGACCAUUGAAAUCAGGGGGUCUCUGAAACCGAUUUGAACAGCACUUAGAUUGGUGAAAUGAGCCCCGAUAACGAUUUGUCAAGAUAACGUGGGUAGGCUCAAUGCUCAGAAGAGGAAGGGUGGUUGGGUGGUUGGCCGGAUUGCCGGGUGGCAAGUCUGUCUUCUUUUCAGGCAUUAAUGGUCAAUUACUCGCUUGGUUCAUUCAAAGGCUCGCAGUUUCUCUUACGGAUAAAGGUAAUAAUAACCUCAGUCGACAUUUGUGACAGCGACAAGAUUUAAAAAGACUGUGAAGGUGCCUCUCAUUGGGCACGGACCAAAGCCAUAGCUGAGCACAUUUGGUCCCCAAAGUCAUUUUAAAUAUCUAAUAGUCGAUGGGACGAAAUUCACCGUUACUCAACCUUCCGUCAAAAAAUUGGAGUUGAACAACUUCUAACUUUGGCAACGCUUCUACAAUAAAAACAUUCAAGUUCAAUAGGGGAAUACUAAGCAUUUUGAGGAAGACAAACAUUACAGCCAACCUGUACCGGGCAUAGACUGAAUUUGUCAUUUCAUUCAGUUUCCCGGCUUGUUGAAGCAAACGGUAUUCUGAUAUUGAACCAGUAAAGUAGUGACAUAACUGCACAAAAAAUGACAUACUUUUGCGUUUUGUAGAACACGUCACUCGAUAGUUAAAAAUUCAAUUGGAUUCAGAGUGAUUGCCAGUCCAGGUUGGCUAUAAUGUUUGUCUUUUUACUCCCUCCUCAAAAUGCUGAAAAUCAGUGUUGCCGUAGUACAUUUUUCUUGAAUUUGCUUUGUUUUAUUUCUUCGACAUGAUUUCCUGGAAUGACCCAAAGUUCGCAUUAGUUAGUGCCAUGAAUGUGGCCAUUUUGUGGAUUCGUCUCCGAAAUCCCGAAAAGACUCGUCAAUGCGCAAAAUAAAACGUGGCCUUGACAUCAAGAAUGGAAAGAACCACAUUGAUGUCGACGGCGACGAAGACGAAGUUAGAUGACUGGAUAAGGUAAUAUAUGAGCAAUGGACAGCCAAACUAGCCGAAAGACGGAAGGAAAUCUUGCAAGUCUCAAACCCGGAUUGAUGUCAUGCAUAACAAGAAACAACUGCCCGCGAGCCCAUCACGAUCCAGUCAAAGACAAUGCCGUGGACAUGUUGGCUGACUAGUGUUGUGACAAGACAAUGUUGAGGUUUGAGCUCAAAGCCCGACCACCUGGUUACUGGUUAACCCACAACGCCGAAUAGAUGACUUUUAAAGAGGGUUCAUGAAAUGCCGGUCCUGCCAAGGACCUACGUGUUUGCUCAAGCUGCUAAUCUUCACGGGGUCGACGAGUUGUACUACCUAAUUUCAGCGGGUUGAUGGAAUAAUUAAAGGAUGUGUCUGUCACAAAAAACCCACGCUCGGACAGUUUUCUUCCAUUUUAGAGGACGUUCAUCGCUGCGAUAAAUUCCAAGUAAGCGCCGGAUAAUGCUGUUGGUAUGAAUGUGGUGUGUUUUCGGAUCCAUAUUAGAAAUAGAAGUUGCCCUGAAGCCACCUCAGCCAGGCUUCGUGCUCAAGGUUAAGAGAUGAGAAUAAUGAUGAUGGGAUUGAGUGGUUGGAGCCUUAUUGGCACUUGAUUUCUCUCAAUCACAGAGCAAUUAUACUUGGUAGUGUGGCUUUGUCUCUGAAUUUGGGCAUGUGAGCUUGACGGAGCAUCACCUUGAAAUCCCAUCCCACCUUCCAACACUUAACGAUACACACCAAAUGGUUGGAAUACUCCUCAUUGUUCUUACGUUCAGUACUUUUGAAGGAGAGUGAAAAUAAAUGCCCCCCAAUCUGAAAAAUAUCAGACUGGUUAAGCAAUGAAUAACCGUGACCCUAAGAACUGAU